GUGGGGAAUAUUGCGCAAUGGGGGAAACCCUGACGCAGCAACGCCGCGUGAGCGAAGAAGGUUUUCGGAUUGUAAAGCUCUGUCUUUAGGGACGAUAAUGACGGUACCUAAGGAGGAAGCCCCGGCUAACUACGUGCCAGCAGCCGCGGUAAUACGUAGGGGGCAAGCGUUGUCCGGAUUCACUGGGCGUAAAGAGCACGUAGGCGGUUAAUUAAGUCAGGUGUGAAAGUUUUCGGCUCAACCGGAAAAGUGCACUUGAAACUGGAUAACUUGAGUAUCGGAGAGGUAAGCGGAAUUCCUAGUGUAGCGGUGAAAUGCGUAGAGAUUAGGAAGAACACCGGUGGCGAAGGCGGCUUACUGGACGAUAACUGACGCUGAGGUGCGAAAGCGUGGGGAGCGAACAGGAUUAGAAACCCCUGUAGUCC
rnacentral:rRNA from 1 species